rnacentral:rRNA from 1 species
CCUACGGGAGGCAGCAGUGGGGAAUCUUGCGCAAUGGGCGAAAGCCUGACGGAGCAACGCCGCGUGAUGGAAUGAAGGCCUCCGGGUUGUAAAGAUCUGUUGACAGGGACGAAUAAGCAAUGCGAAUAGUUUUGUGUAUGACGGUACCUGUUUAGAAAGCUCCGGCUAACUACGUGCCAGCAGCCGCGGGAAUACGUAGGGGGGAAGGGUUGUCCGGAAUUAGUGGGGGUAAAGGGCGCGUAGGUGGGCUCUUAAGUCAGGUGUGAAAACUUCGGGCUCAACCUGGAGACUGCACUUGAAACUGGGUGUCUUGAGGGCAGGAGAGGAAAGUGGAAUUCCUGGUGUAGCGGUGAAAUGCGUAGAUAUUAGGAGGAACACCAGUGGCGAAGGCGGCUUUCUGGACUGUACCUGACGCUGAGGCGCGAAAGCGUGGGGAGCAAACAGGAUUAGAUACCCGGGUAGUC